GGCAACAGAUCAUACCGGUUUUGAUUUUGAACCAGCAGCAGUUUUGGCUACAGCAGGCUGUAAUAGUAGAAAAAAAUUUAUCAACUGUAAGUGAAAGAACCUUACAGCAAUACAGACCUGAUGGACUGAUUUACAGAAAAAAUAGUAAAAACUAAAGGGGAAGUUACCAUAUCCUCAUCAGAAUCGCUCUCAGACUCUGAACUAUCACUGGAUUCAGAUUUCUUUUGGGCAGCAGGGGCAACAGCCUUCUUUGGCACAGCAGUAGUCUAUAGAUGUUCAGAGAUAUUAGGAAAACAAUAAACAGAACAGAUAAAAUUAUAAAAUAGAAUAUCAAGGAAGGCAAUGAAAUAGAACCUUCUCAUUCUCAUCAGAGUCAUCAUCACUGUCAUCUGACGAGUCAGAUGACGAUGCUGCCUUCUUGGCAGGAGGAGCAGGCUUGGAUG
rnacentral:lncRNA from 1 species